rnacentral:lncRNA from 1 species
AUAAUACUAUACAGACUUUUAUAGCAAGCUUAGUGAACAACACGGUUCUACUCAAACAAGCAAACGAUAGCUGUAAAAAAAAAUUAAUGAUAUCAUAUUUACAUUUUUCAUUCUUUCGUUAUAGAUCCCUAUCCAAGCGAUUGGCUAGAAGAAUGUGUAUACUGUUGUUGACUAUUACACUAAACAAUCUUUUUCUCUUCCUUAAGACCAUACAAUGAACUGCAACUACAAAACAAACACAAAAACAGUUUGAAAAUGAAGGCACUGUGAUUGAAAAUGAACACACAGUGAGUUUAGACUGUAAUUGUAAACAAAGCACUGCUGCUUCACGGUGUCCUUAACCACAGUGUCUUGCACCCACACAGAAACAAACAGCUGUCUGUUGACACUUAAUUCAAAUGUUCACAGAAGGUUCGUAUCCAAAAUCAGUUUUGAGGUCUGCAUUAGCGAAAUUUAGUUCUUGCCACGCCUUCAUCCCACCACAUUCUCACACGGAAGCGCACUCGCACUAAUCACACUCCAGCACUGAGCACUUCUGCUAAACAACACCACUCCUGCCAAACAGCCAAUUAUGACACUCCAUCAAUCAGCGCACCUUCCUCCUCUCACAACACUUAAACCCUCCAGAAGCCCCUGUUUAUUGCUUGGUUUUGGUUGUUUGUUCACCUACCUUGCCUUUGAUUCUUUUUUCCUUCUUGCUCUUUGUUACUAACCUCAGAACUCACUUUCAACUCACUACUGUCUUGCCCCUUCAGAUUUGGAAGCCUACUUUUAUCUGCCUUCUUGACUACGACCUCAGCCUUGCCCUUCUCUGGAUUGGAAACCUUCUCUCCUGAAUUAACACUGCAGAUAAAGUUGUGCUGUCCCCACCCUGCUGAGGGACACUCCCACAGAGAUGACUCAUUCCCCAGACAGCCCACCUCGUCCAGCCAGAUGGGUCCAGUUCCCUGGGUGAAGCAGGCCGGCACUGGGGCACUGAGGGCCAUCCCACACUGGAGCUGCCUGCAUACCACCUGAGAGUCUGCCAGGUCCCAGGAGUCAUCGCAGACUGUCCCCCAGGAUC